rnacentral:rRNA from 1 species
UACGGAGGGGGCGAGCGUUAUUCGGAAUUAUUGGGCGUAAAGGGUGCGUAGGUGGUGAUGCAAGUCUGGUGUGAAAUCUCGGAGCUCAACUCCGAAAUUGCACCGGAUACUGCGUGACUCGAGGACUGUAGAGGAGAUCGGAAUUCACGGUGUAGCAGUGAAAUGCGUAGAUAUCGUGAGGAAGACCAGUUGCGAAGGCGGAUCUCUGGGCAGUUCCUGACACUGAGGCACGAAGGCCAGGGAGCAAACGGG